rnacentral:rRNA from 1 species
AUGAAGCUGGUGUGGUGCCCGGAGACCGCGUCCCAGGCCUUCAUCGCCGGCGUCAGCGCGCUGUCAGACGCCGAGCACGGCCCCGCGGGGUCCGCGGGCGUCGCCGAGCUCGUCUCCGCCAUGGUCGGGGGAUGGAACGCGCAGCUCGUCGUCGAGGCGCCGGAGGUCUCGGCUCCCGACUCGGCCACCAUGAGCCUCGCCCUCGCCGCCGCCGCCGGGCGCACGGGAGGCCGCUACGCCCGCGUGCUGCCGGACGAGGACGCGGACCGGGCCAUGGCGGAGCUGGAGGGCGUGGACUUCUUGGUGGUCGACGCGCGGAGGCGGGACGGGGCGGCCGUGCUGGCGGCGGCCAGGCCUGGGCCGAGAGGGAUGGUGGUGGUGCGCCACGGCGACGAGAGGCGGCCUGGCACGAAGGCGCUCGAAGCGUCCAUGGCAGCAGGCACGAGGGUAGUGCGGUCCGUGUACCUGCCGGUCGACAAGGGCGUCGAGGUCCUCCACGUCGGCGUAGGCAAGGGGCCGAGCCUACAGUGCCGGCGCAGCCGGAGCGCGUCGAGCCGUUGGAUCCGGCACGUCGACCACAAAACCGGCGAGGAGCACCUCUUCCGCCGGCCGUAA